AACCCUUCCGCCGGAUGACCAAGGGUUCCAGGGCCAGGUUAAUCCGCCCUGGGUGAGUCGGGGCCUAAGGCGAGGCCGAGAGGCGUAGUCGAUGGAUAACGGGUUGAUAUUCCCGUACCCGCGAAGGAGCGUCCCUGAUGAACCUCGUUGUGCUAACCAUCCGAUCUUGGUGUGGUCUUCGGACUGUGCUGGGGGAGCGUGGGAACCUGGCGGGUAGUAGUCAAGCGAUGGGGUGACGCAGGAAGGUAGCUGAGCCCGGCCGGUGGUUGUGCCGGGGUAAGCGUGUAGGCUGUGUCGUAGGUAAAUCCGCGGCGCGUGUGGCUGAGACGUGAUGCCGAGCCGAUUCAGGUGAAGUCAGUGAUCCUAUGCUGUCGAGAAAAGCCUCUAGCGAGUUCCGAGCGGCCCGUACCCUAAACCGACACAGGUGGUCAGGUAGAGAAUACCAAGGCGAUCGGGUGAACUGUGGUUAAGGAACUCGGCAAAUUGCCCCCGUAACUUUGGGAGAAGGGGGGCCGGAGACGUGAAGGCACGUGCUGCUGGAGCGUUGUAUGGCCGCAGAGAGCAGGGGGAAGCGACUGUUUACUAAAAACACAGGUCCAUGCGAAGAAGUAAUUCGAUGUAUAUGGACUGACGCCUGCCCGGUGCUGGAACGUUAAGGGGACCUGUUAGUCUUUCGGGGCGAAGCGGAGAACUUAAGCGCCAGUAAACGGCGGUGGUAACUAUAACCAUCCUAAGGUAGCGAAAUUCCUUGUCGGGUAAGUUCCGACCUGCACGAAUGGCGUAACGACUUCCCCACUGUCUCAACCACAGGCCCGGCGAAAUUGCAUUACGAGUAAAGAUGCUCGUUACGCGCGGCAGGACGGAAAGACCCCGGGACCUUUACUAUAGCUUGACAUUGGUAUCUGAAUUAGCUUGUGUAGGAUAGGUGGGAGCCUGUGAAGUGUGCACGCCAGUGCAUGUGGAGGCAAUCUUGAAAUACCACUCUGGUUGGUUUGGGUAUCUAACUUCGGACCGUUAUCCGGUUCAGGGACAGUGUCUGGUGGGUAGUUUAACUGGGGCGGUUGCCUCCUAAAGGGUAACGGAGGCGCCCAAAGGUUCCCUCAGCCUGGUUGGCAAUCAGGUGUUGAGUGUAAGUGCACAAGGGAGCUUGACUGUGAGACUGACGGGUCGAGCAGGGACGAAAGUCGGGACUAGUGAUCCGGCACUGGCAUGUGGAAGCGGUGUCGCUCAACGGAUAAAAGGUACCCCGGGGAUAACAGGCUGAUCUUCCCCAAGAGUCCAUAUCGACGGGAUGGUUUGGCACCUCGAUGUCGGCUCGUCGCAUCCUGGGGCUGUAGCAGGUCCCAAGGGUUGGGCUGUUCGCCCAUUAAAGCGGUACGCGAGCUGGGUUUAGAACGUCGUGAGACAGUUCGGUCCCUAUCCGCCGUGCGCGUAGGAUACUUGAGAAGGGCUGUCCCUAGUACGAGAGGACCGGGACGGACGAACCUCUGGUGUGCCAGUUGUCCCGCCAGGGGCACGGCUGGUUAGCUACGUUCGGAAGGGAUAACCGCUGAAAGCAUCUAAGCGGGAAGCCUGCUUCAAGAUGAGGUAUCCCACCCACUUUGU
rnacentral:rRNA from 1 species